GAUGAACGCUGGCGGCGUGCCUAAUACAUGCAAGUCGAGCGAACGGACGAGAAGCUUGCUUCUCUGAUGUUAGCGGCGGACGGGUGAGUAACACGUGGAUAACCUACCUAUAAGACUGGGAUAACUUCGGGAAACCGGAGCUAAUACCGGAUAAUAUUUUGAACCGCAUGGUUCAAAAGUGAAAGACGGUCUUGCUGUCACUUAUAGAUGGAUCCGCGCUGCAUUAGCUAGUUGGUAAGGUAACGGCUUACCAAGGCAACGAUGCAUAGCCGACCUGAGAGGGUGAACGGCCACACUGGAACUGAGACACGGUCCAGACUCCUACGGGAGGCAGCAGCAGGGAAUCUUCCGCAAUGGGCGAAAGCCUGACGGAGCACCGCCGCGUGAGUGAUGAAGGUCUUCGGAUCGUAAAACUCUGUUAUUAGGGAAGAACAUAUGUGUAAGUAACUGUGCACAUCUUGACGGUACCUAAUCAGAAAGCCACGGCUAACUACGUG
rnacentral:rRNA from 1 species